CCUACGGGUGGCUGCAGUGAGGAAUAUUGGUCAAUGGACGAGCGUCUGAACCAGCCAAGUAGCGUGAAGGAUGACUGCCCUAUGGGUUGUAAACUUCUUUUAUAUGGGAAUAAAAUGUUCCACGUGUGGGAUUUUGUAUGUACCAUAUGAAUAAGGAUCGGCUAACUACGUGCCAUCAGCCGCGGGAAUACGGAGGAUCCGAGCGUUAUCCGGAUUGAUUGGGUUUAAAGGGAGCGUAGGUGGAUUGUUAAGUCAGUUGUGAAAGUUGGGGGCUCAACCGUAAAAUUGCAGUUGAAACUGGCAGUCUUGAGUGCAGUAGAGGUGAGCGGAAUUCGUGGUGUAGCGGUGAAAUGCUGAGAUAUCACGAAGAACUCCAGUUGCGAAGGCAGCUCACUGGACUGCAACUGACACUGAGGCUCGAAAGUGUGGGUAUCAAACAGGAUUAGAUACCCCGGUAGUC
rnacentral:rRNA from 1 species